ACUUCCGGCCCCGGAGGGCAGGAGGCGGGGCCGAGGCGCUUCCGGCCUGUGCUCCGGGAUUUACCGCGGCUGGGCGGCGCUUCUGCUGAGAGAAGGCGGGAGCGGCUGGAGAGGGUUGCGGGUGCCAGAGGGAAGCUCCGAAGAGCCCUGUAGCUCCGUGGCUUAGGUGAAGCCGGCAGAAAACCCCGAGGAGCUUCGGAGGCCUGCGACUUAGGGGGAGCCGGCGUCGCCUGGUCCCGAGCGUGGGCGAGUUUCGGCGCAGCAGGCGUCUCAGUCAAUGACUCAAAGACACCCCGACUUCCCUAAUUCUCUAGGGUGUAAAUAAGCGCAGACUAAGCCUUGGCCUGCAAAGCUGCCGAGACAGGACACCUCUAACAGCAGACUCUUGUAUCACCAUCCUUACCUCGUUCUACUCUGUUGUUCAAAAUGUAGUCUCUCAACCAUCCCCAUCAAGUUCACCUGAGGCGGUUGUUGAAGCUGAGAUCCCUGGGCCCUACCCCAGUAGGCCUCCUAAAGCCCAAGGUUUUUAGCCUCUAACGGUAUACAACAAGGCAGAGAAGAACCUGGAGAAAGGCUCAGUUCUCCAGGAAAUUUAAUUCCUGAGACUUUAGUAGUAUCUUGACUUGGACUAGUAAAGCUGACAGCAGCCAGACAGCAUCCGACAAUUACUAUGCUUCUUGAUACCGAAGGCCGAGAGAUUAGAGACACAGCAAUCGUGAUCGCUUGGGCGCACUGAGUCACGGCCCAACAGAUUUACUCCAUUAUUAAGUAUGAGCAAAUCAGCAGCUAGGUUUUUCAUAGGCUGUUGCUCAGAAUCUUUGACCCCAAAAAAUCGUGAAUCUGAGCAAUAUCUCCGUUUCUCCACCUGAACCUGUUUAUAGGCCAGCUGGGAAAGGAUAGAAGAAGCCAGCAGAAGUCCAUGUGUAUGAACAGGGCUGGAGUGAUCCAUGCUUCAACAGCAGUCCCUUCAACUUUGCUUGAAUGUGGAGGCUGCGUACAUCACAAGCUCUGCAGACUACAAGUUGAUGAAUAGAACUUCACUCAACCACACAACAAUGGAGGUGACCUACUGUUUUACAUCCUCUCUUAUAAACUGCUAAGGGAGUUAUUUUGCAGUGACAAAGCUUCUCUUCUAGUAUCCUGACACAUCCUAGGACUUUGAUGUUGGAAAUCCUUCCUUCCAAUCAAAUUCUGGUUCUAAAACCACAGAACUAUUUGAGAAACCAGACACAAACUUAUGCCAUGUUGCAACCAGAGAGGAAGAAGCUUGAAAACAAAGCCAACGCAAUGAGACAACACAGCAGAAAGCGGAAAGAACCUGAGUCUUUGGUGAUGCUAUUGAGCUGAUGAAUUAGACCUGGAGGACACCUGCUAUGGGCUUCCUGUCAUCUAAGGUAAUAAAUGUCUUUACUGUUUAAACCAGUGUUUCAUUAUUUUCUGUAGAAAGCCUCCUAAUUAGGGUAAGUACCUAUUAACCUCACUUAACUCCUUACAAUGUCCUUUUUCUUGAUCUUGCUGAAGUCAUCUAUUGAGAAUAACAGAAAAUCGCAGAUGGUGAUUCUGAUCCCAUCUCCUUAGAUGUGACCUUAGGUCUCUCACUCAGAAUGACUAUGGUUUAUGAAACAUCGGAAAUACUGGGAAGAGUAGGAAGGAGGUGGGUAGGAUGAGGUAUCUGGUGAUGGAGGUGAUCUGUGUCUGGUAAGGUGAAGUGUGAAAACUAAGCAAAAGAUGCAAAUGGAAAUCAGAGAGAAAGCAGCUCUUCUGAGCAGACCCUUAGAAAUACAGUCUUAGGGACACGUGAGCCACAUCUUUGGGGAGAGUUGUGGAAUCUACAUUAUAGGAGUGGCAUCACUUAGAUCUAUGUUCUUCUCUCAGGGGGAGAAAUCAGUGUUCAUAGGAUAUCAGAGGGUUCUUGUCAUGCCUGUCUUCUUCAGAAACAGACCAAAUUCUGACAUGUCUCAUGAUGACAUGAUGAUCUAAAAGUGAGAGGCUUGAUUUCAAUUUUUCCUAUAAGCUCCCAAAAGACCUAUGGUAUUGCUGCUCUCUUUCAGCCUGGCAUAAGUCUCACAAACUAGAAGGCAGACUUAACAUUCAAUCUAGGGUAGUUCUCCCCAGUGACCUCUUGCUUUUUCUAAACAUCUUCAUAAAGACAUAGUAAUAUUCUACUGUGAAUUAUAUGAGAGCUGUUCAUGUGGAUUUAAACAGUAAAUCUAACAAAUAGGCUGCUCUUUGCCUGAUGACUCAGAGAUAUUUAUGUAUUCUUACAUUUCAGGCAUUUGAGGAAAAAAAUAAUUCCUGAAUAUAUUGUAUUCAAUUGAGUUUGAAAGAGGAAAAGAAUAGAAAAACAAUAGAGAGAAUCAAUGAAGUCAAAAAUUGGUCC